GGGCGGAAAUCAAUAGAAUAGAAACAAAAAUAAAAAUUUUUUUUUAACAUUCGCUAUAGUACGACCAUGCAUGUGUCCCCAGACCUAGUUCUUUACCUGGGUCUGAUUCAUUAAAUGUAUGAGCUGUAU